GGAAGGAGAUGUUUGCAGUUGGUUUAAUGAAUCUUUUACAUUGAAGAGAAGGAAUGGUAAGAUUGCUUAUAAGCUGGAUCUUGAGGGUGAGUGGUCUCUUCUACGCAUUGGGCUUAUAAGCCAUCUUACUAGUUCUUCUUUUCAAUGUUGUCUAAGGACGCUGCUUUUAUCAGGUGAUCAUUUGU